AUAUCUCUCUGUACGGGAAGGAUGAGAAGCUUCGACUAAGGUUCGAUUCGAGCGUCAGCGAGAAAGCGUUGCCGCAGGCAACGACCCGAAGGGCGAAGCGCGCAGC
rnacentral:sRNA from 1 species